rnacentral:rRNA from 1 species
CACGCUGUAAACGAUGAAUACUAGGUGUGGGAGGUAUCGACUCCUUCCGUGCCGUCGUAAACACAUUAAGUAUUCCGCCUGGGGAGUACGAUCGCAAGAUUAAAACUCAAAGGAAUUGACGGGGGCCCGCACAAGCAGCGGAGCAUGUGGUUUAAUUCGAAGCAACGCGAAGAACCUUACCUGGACUUGACAUCUCCUGAAUAGCCAAGAGAUUGGUGAAGCCCUUCGGGGCAGGAAGACAGGUGG